rnacentral:rRNA from 1 species
AGUCGAGGGGUAUUUAUCUUCGGAUAGAGAGACCGGCGCACGGGUGCGUAACGCGUAUGCAAUCUACCUUUUGCAGAGGGAUAGCCCAGAGAAAUUUGGAUUAAUACCUCAUAGUAUAUAGAGUUGGCAUCAACACUAUAUUAAAGUCACAACGGCAAAAGAUGAGCAUGCGUCCCAUUAGCUAGUUGGUAAGGUAACGGCUUACCAAGGCUACGAUGGGUAGGGGUCCUGAGAGGGAGAUCCCCCACACUGGUACUGAGACACGGACCAGACUCCUACGGGAGGCAGCAGUGAGGAAUAUUGGACAAUGGGCGCAAGCCUGAUCCAGCCAUGCCGCGUGCAGGAUGACGGUCCUAUGGAUUGUAAACUGCUUUUGCACAGGAAGAAACAACG